CCCGGCCGCGCCUCCCACCCGGGCCGGAGGAUCGAGCCCGACGGGUCCGAGCAGCUGCCAGGCACGGCCCCAUCCCGGGCUGCGUGUUACCGCCGUGCGAGUGCGGGGCCUUUUCCCUACGUACAUGUGCACAUGCCUUUUUCCUGUGUAUGUGCCUGUAUUUCUCCAGGGCAGCAGGCAGAAUCAUCAUCAUUAUCAAAAUGUCACUGCUGUGAAGAUCAGGAGGGGUUUUAAGGAUGUGGUGAUUGAAGGCUGAAACAAGAAAACAGUGAAACAUAUUGGAUGGUAUCUACAACUGGAAUGCCUACAACAAGAAAGGUUCCCUUCUAGAUUAAGCACAGGAAUGUUAAGUCUGACUCUAUUUUGUCCCUGUUAAAUAUUGUCUUGUAAAUAUGAAGUUACGUUAUUUCAGUUUGUGGGAACCCUUUGUGAUUAAAGAGCAUAUCUCCAUAGUAGUAUGGAGAACACUAUGAAACAUGUGCCCCACAAAUUCAUAUCCCAGCUAGGAGGCAUCCAAGAGGAGCCCACUGCUUGUUCCAAUGCAGGUACAGUGGAAAUACCUCAUGAAGACAAAUCACUGUGACUAUAUUGAGAGAUUUCUGUUUCUCUGCAUGGCCGAGUUGUUGCCUAAUCCACUCUUCUCAUGCAACUCCUUUGGUUUGUACAUUAAUAUUUCCCAAGAGCAGGUUGCAAUAUUGUGUGUGAUUCCACUUUGAAUCUCAAUGAUUUCUUCAAUUAUGUCCUGCAUUAAUGGUUUGCAAAGUCUUGGGAAACAGCACAAAGGUGUCUUCUGCCAAAUACAUUGAGAUAGCAUGCCCAGCAUGCUUCAUGUAUUUUUAUUGCUUCUUUUGCAUGCUGGGAAGACUUCCCCACACUAUGUAAAAUCUCCUAAACAGCUAUUAAUUCCUUCAGUGGGGGUGUUCCUUAUUAUUUGUGAUAAAACGCAUAUAUUAAAAAUACCCUUAAAAAGGCCUUGCAAAAUAAAUGCGUGAGCUCCUUUGCUAAAUAGGAAGCUCAGUUGUAUGCAAGGAAUUGUAUUCACUUUAGUAAAAGGAAAAGUUCUAUUGUAUGAGUAUUACAGAAACUCAAAUGAUCACAUUUGUUUCUGAACCUUAUUUUGCCUCUUAGUCUGAGAUGUGUUAGAUCUCCCAGAGUUUUCUAGUAGUCUAAACCACCAAGAGAGCCAGGAAAGUCAAAUAAUGCAGCCACUGUGCAGUAAGGGCAAAGUAAAGGUGAGAGACUGUAUAGAUUCAGUCCUGUAACCAAACAAACACAUUUUCUCUGGCGCAGCUAUCAUCAGCUGGACUUGGCUUGGGAGAAAGAUAGUAACAAAUUUCGCACGGAGAAGAAAGAGAUAAGAUGACUGUAGACUGGUUGAUCUUGAACUGAGAAGUCUGAAAGAUACGGUACAUGAAAUUGCUGAUAGAAGAUGUGUUAAACAGAGGUGUAAAUGUAGGUAGCUUUAAAUUAGCAGAGGUAUUUUAGAAAGAUGCAAAAACAGAUCCAGACAUCUAAGUGUCUAUUGCUCUGCUCUCAGUAGGCUUUAAAAUAAAAUGUAAUGGAGAGAAUAAUAAAGAGCAUGGAGGUAAAUAGAAUGAACUGUCACAUCUUUUUAAUAAAGGUUGAUUAUCUCAGAUUAACAAAAUAUCAUUUUUUAUAUAUUCAGUGAUAUUUUUAGGCAAGGAGAAUGGGUAGAAAUAGUCUGUCUUGAAUGUAUUUGAUAUAUUGUCUUGUGGAAAAUUGUUAAUUAAGCUGGACAUGAUAAGAAUCAUUAGAAGAACUGAAAGUGGGUAAAGAAAGUAGGGGAGUGGUUAGGAGACAGUAGAUACUAUCAAAAGGGAAGUAUUGGAAUGAAGUUACUAAUAAAAUCUUUUUUUCAUGAUUGAAUUUUGAGAGAAAGCUUCUUAGUCAUUUCAUUAACAGUGUUGAUAAGAGAAUUAGGAGUAUGACAGUGGUUCUGAAGACACAAGUUUAGACAGCAUAGUUAAUGGAGAGAAGGAAAAGAAAAUUAAACAGGAGAAAUUAGAUGACUCCAAGGAUAAGAGAAAUAAAGUGGCUACUAUUUAAAAUAUUAGAAUACGCAUUCAUGAAUUAAUUUGAGAACUCAUAACAUCUUGUUAUCCUGUGAAAGACUUACAAAGAAGAGGUGAAGAAGAUUACAACUUUCAUGUUUUAACUGGUUUUAGGAGGACUGUGAGUCUUGUAUGUAAUGCACCUAGAAAAUGUGCAAGCUUAUAUAUCCCAUCUGAUAUAUCCAAUAAAGUUACAAAAGUUCAUGCAAACCUCAUCUGAAAGGCUCUACUGUGUUGGUACCUGCUUUCCAAGAAAAAUGAAUUGAGACCUAACUAGUUGCAGAGAAAAGCUGCAAAGAUGGUAAAGAUAAGACAGGGCUUACCACAGAAGGGAAUAUAAAACAACUUGGCAUGUUUAAUCUUGUGAAAACAAGACAGAGGGGAUAU
ensembl:lncRNA